GGUUACAAAUCGUGAAAAGGAAUUUUUACGGAUCUGGAUUUUCCAAAGUUCUUUUUUGGUAAUCUAAAAUUUAUCUUAACAAUAGGUGAUAUUGGAAAUGUUUACCUUUAAUUCAUUAACAAUUAUUACCAAUUUGUUACGUCGUGUUAUUUUCCUAAUUUCUUUAACUGGUUAAAGUAAUACAAUUUUUCUUUGAA
rnacentral:misc_RNA from 1 species